GACGAACGCUGGCGGCGCGCCUAACACAUGCAAGUCGAACGAGCGAGAGAGAGCUUGCUUUCUCGAGCGAGUGGCGAACGGGUGAGUAACGCGUGAGGAACCUGCCUCAAAGAGGGGGACAACAGUUGGAAACGACUGCUAAUACCGCAUAAGCCCACGACCCGGCAUCGGGUAGAGGGAAAAGGAGCAAUCCGCUUUGAGAUGGCCUCGCGUCCGAUUAGCUAGUUGGUGAGGUAACGGCCCACCAAGGCGACGAUCGGUAGCCGGACUGAGAGGUUGAACGGCCACAUUGGGACUGAGACACGGCCCAGACUCCUACGGGAAGCAGCAGUGGGGAAUAUCGCACAAUGGGGGAAACCCUGAUGCAGCGACGCCGCGUGGAGGAAGAAGGUCUUCGGAUUGUAAACUCCUGUUGUUGAGGAAGAUAAUGACGGUACUCAACAAGGAAGUGACGGCUAACUACGUG
rnacentral:rRNA from 1 species